UACGUAGGGUGCAAGCGUUGUCCGGAAUUAUUGGGCGUAAAGAGCUCGUAGGCGGUUUUGUUGCGUCGGCUGUGAAAAUCCCGAGGCUCAACCUCGGGUCUGCAGUCGAUACGAGCAAACUAGAGUGUUGCAGGGGGAGACUGGAAUUCCUGGUGUAGCGGUGAAAUGCGCAGAUAUCAGGAGGAACACCGGUGGCGAAGGCGGAUCUCUGGGCCGAUACUGACGCUGAGGAGCGAAAGCGUGGGGAGCGAACAGG
rnacentral:rRNA from 1 species